rnacentral:rRNA from 1 species
UGAUUAAGCCAUGCAAGUCGAGAGGUUCAAGACCUCGGCGUACUGCUCAGUAACACGUGGACAAUCUGCCCUGAAGUGGAGAAUAAUCCCGGGAAACUGGGGGUAAUACUCCAUAGUUCGUUAAUACUGGAAUGUUUUUCGAACGAAAGAUCCGUCGCUUCAGGAUGAGUCUGCGGCCGAUUAGGUAGUUGUUGGGGUAAUUGCCCAACAAGCCUGUAAUCGGUACGGGUUGUGGGAGCAAGAGCCCGGAGAUGGAUUCUGAGACACGAAUCCAGGCCCUACGGGGCGCAGCAGGCGCGAAAACUUUACCAUGCGGGCAACCGUGAUAAGGAAACCCCGAGUGCCAGCACAGGCUGGCUGUCCGCCAGUUUAAACAACUGGCGAAGAAAGGGCCGGGCAAGACCGGUGCCAGCCGCCGCGGUAAUACCGGCGGCUCGAGUGGUGGCCGCUAUUACUGGGCUUAAAGGGUCCGUAGCUUGAUAAUAGGGUCCCUUGAGAAAUCCGCCGGCUUAACUGGCGGGCGUUCAGGGGAAACUUGUUUUCUAGGGACCGGGAGAGGUGAGGGGUACUGCCGGGGUAGGAGUGAAAUCCUGUAAUCCCGGUGGGACCACCUAUGGCGAAGGCAUCUCACCAGAACGGGUCCGACAGUGAGGGACGAAAGCUGGGGGAGCAAACCGGAUUAGAUACCCGGGUAGUCCCAGCUGUAAACUAUGUGCGUUAGGUGUGUCAGUGACCACGUGUCACUGAGGUGCCGAAGGGAAACCGUGAAACGCACCGCCUGGGGAGUACGGUCGCAAGGCUGAAACUUAAAGGAAUUGGCGGGGGAGCA